rnacentral:rRNA from 1 species
CCUACGGGAGGCAGCAGUGAGGAAUAUUGGUCAAUGGACGAGAGUCUGAACCAGCCAAGUAGCGUGAAGGAUGACUGCCCUAUGGGUUGUAAACUUCUUUUAUAUGGGAAUAAAAUGUUCCACGUGUGGGAUUUUGUAUGUACCAUAUGAAUAAGGAUCGGCUAACUCCGUGCCAGCAGCCGCGGUAAUACGGAGGAUCCGAGCGUUAUCCGGAUUUAUUGGGUUUAAAGGGAGCGUAGGUGGCUUGUUAAGUCAGUUGUGAAAGUUUGCGGCUCAACCGUAAAAUUGCAGUUGAAACUGGCAGUCUUGAGUACAGUAGAGGUGGGCUGAAUUCGUGGUGUAGCGGUGAAAUGCUUAGAUAUCACGAAGAACUCCGAUUGCGAAGGCAGUUCACUGGACUGCAACUGACACUGAGGCUCGAAAGUGUGGGUAUCAAACAGGAUUAGAUACCCCUGUAGUC